UUGGAGGGCAAGUCUGGUGCCAGCAGCCGCGGUAAUUCCAGCUCCAAUAGCGUAUAUUAAAGUUGUUGCAGUUAAAAAGCUCGUAGUUGAAUCUCGGGGUCAGUAGAUUGGUCAUGCCACUGGUAUGUACUGGUCUCACUGAUUCCUCCUUCCUGAUGAGCCGUAAUGCCAUUAAUUUGGUGUUGCGAGGAAUCUGGACUGUUACUUUGAAAAAAUUAGAGUGUUUAAAGCAGGCUAACGCUUGAAUACAUUAGCAUGGACUAAUGAAAUAGGACGUUCGAUCUUAUUUUGUUGGUUUCUAAGAUUGACGUAAUGAUUAAUAGGGAUAGUUGGGGGCAUUAGUAUUCAAUUGUCAGAGGUGAAAUUCUUGGAUUUAUUGAAGACUAACUACUGCGAAAGCAUUUGCCAAGGAUGUUUUCAUUAAUCAAGAACGAAAGUUAGGGGAUCGAAGACGAUCAGAUACCGUCGUAGUCUUAACCAUAAACUAUGCCGACUAGGGAUCGGAUGAUGUUAAUUUUUUAAUGACUCAUUCGGCGCCUUACGGGAAAC
rnacentral:rRNA from 1 species